rnacentral:rRNA from 1 species
UGGGGAAUAUUGCGCAAUGGGCGAAAGCCUGUCGCAGCGACGCCGCGUGAGGGAUGAAGGUUUUCGGAUCGUAAACCUCUGUCAGAAGGGAAGAAACCGCACUGUGCUAAUCAGCAGUGCCUUGACGGUACCUUCAAAGGAAGCACCGGCUAACUCCGUGCCAGCAGCCGCGGUAAUACGGAGGGUGCAAGCGUUAAUCGGAAUUACUGGGCGUAAAGCGCACGUAGGCUGCUUUGUAAGUCAGGGGUGAAAUCCCACGGCUCAACCGUGGAACUGCCUUUGAUACUGCUUAGCUUGAAUCCGGGAGAGGGUGGCGGAAUUCCAGGUGUAGGAGUGAAAUCCGUAGAUAUCUGGAGGAACAUCAGUGGCGAAGGCGGCCACCUGGACCGGUAUUGACGCUGAGGUGCGAAAGCGUGGGGAGCAAACAGG